GACGUAGGGGGCAAGCGUUGUCCGGAGUUACUGGGCGUAAAGAGCUCGUAGGCGGCUUUUUAAGUCGGGUGUGAAAGCCCUCGGCUCAACCGAGGAAUUGCAUUCGAUACUGAGAGGCUAGAGUCAGGUAGAGGAAAGCGGAAUUCCCGGUGUAGCGGUGAAAUGCGCAGAUAUCGGGAAGAACACCGGUGGCGAAGGCGGCUUUCUGGGCCUUGACUGACGCUGAGGAGCGAAAGCUAGGGGAGCAAACAGG
rnacentral:rRNA from 1 species